UACGAAGGGGGCUAGCGUUGUUCGGAAUUACUGGGCGUAAAGCGCGCGCAGGCGGCUAUCCAAGUCAGUGGUGAAAGCCCGGAGCUCAACUCCGGAACUGCCAUUGAAACUGUUUAGCUGGAGUAUGAGAGAGGUGAGUGGAAUUCCCAGUGUAGAGGUGAAAUUCGUAGAUAUUGGGAAGAACACCGGUGGCGAAGGCGGCUUCCUGGUCUGCGACUGACGCUGUGGCGCGAAAGCUAGGGGAGCAAACGGG
rnacentral:rRNA from 1 species